AUCCACCUAACGAGUCUUGAAUGGGACGAAACGCGCGUCCUGGAU
rnacentral:hammerhead_ribozyme from 1 species